UACUACACCUUCUUGACAGGGCUGGACUUGAUGAUCCAUAGCAGUGGUUCUUAACCGUGGGUUACUCAGGUGUUUUUGGACUGCAACUCCCAGAAGCCUUCACCACCAGCUGUGCUGGCUGGGGUUUCUGGGAGUUGCAGUUCAAAAACACCUGAGUAACCCAAGGGUAAGAACCACUGAUCCAUAGGAUCCCUUCCAACUCUGAUGAUUAAAAGUAAACCUUGAAAAUAAUGAGAAAGCCUUACUUGUUGCAUCAAUACAGGUAACUUUGAUCUUAUUCAUUAUGUUACUUGUGAAAUGUUUUUCAGUUACACCUUUGCUAUCCUAUAAUCAGCUAUGUUAUGUGUAACUUCCUACUUCCAACUCCAACUUUUUAUCUCCAAUUCCAGCAUCCUUGGCCACUGGACUCCUUGGCUGAGGCUGAUGGGACCUGGAAUCCAACACUAUCCGGCAGGUCCCAGAAUUCCCAGACCCCUGAGGAAUGUUGGUAAACAGAAGCUGUGCUCAAGUUAUGCCUAUUACUGGGAACAAGGAGCUUCCUCACACCACCUCACCAUUCUCAAGACUCAAGAGAGCAAAUUAAAUUAAUUCAAAUGAAGCCUGAAGCAGAAGUGGAACAGGUUGCGGACAGACCAAAUUAAAAAAGGAAAAUCAUUCAUUGUACCACACUAAGACAAACUAAAAAUUGAUAGCCUAAUGUCAUUGGAAGCAUGAUUGCUAAUCAUGGUGAGUCUAUAAUUCAUCUACAAGAGAUCCGGCGCCAGAGGAACCGAUAUUUUAGAAAACGAUGCUUAAAUAAUAAUCUUCAUAUAGCUACUUACAGAAUUAGUAGAGUAUGAAAACAUGAACAGUUUCUUGGAAAGGAUUUCACCCUUUAUCCUUUCCAGGCCUUGGAACCACACCCGUACCUUCUUAAAGACCUCUUCCUAACAGUUGGAAUAGCUACUUCUUGAACUACAGCUCCCAAAGUUUUUCAGCUGGCUGGUGGAUUCCCAGAGCUGUAGGUCAAACAGCACCUGUUCUAUGUGACCUUGGCUGCCAGAUGGGUGGGAUGGAUAUAUAUGAAUAUGAAUGUAAAAACUCCUGUCCUUUAAAAUGGGAGGUCCAUUCAACCAAGAGACUUAGUAAAGGAAACCUGGAAGCUGAUACAUAAUUGGGCCCAGGAAAAGAUAAGAACUUAAGGGAAGAAUUAUUUCCAUGGUGAAUCAGUGCUCACUAGAAUCCUUUGAUGAUAUUUAGAUGA
rnacentral:lncRNA from 1 species